rnacentral:lncRNA from 1 species
GCAAGCAGUAUGCAAAAGCAAAGAGCGUUUCUUCAGCUGAAUUUCCUGCUUGCUGGGGUCUGUCUCCCCCGUUUGGGAAUGGAGACCCCUGGUGAAAUCAGGGGCUCAUCUUUUAUUGUCAGUUAGGGGAAUUCCAGGGAGGGGUUUGCGCCCUCUUACCUUGAUUGGUCAGCUCUAUCUCGGGGGUCUGACUGAUUCUAUAAUCAAGCUCUGAAGACUUCCCAGGGGUGGCUUGCUCAUUCUAGCUACCUAUUCUUACUUCAGGCCAGAUGAUGAGGUGUCCUCGGACUGGCUGCCCGCGGCUCUGGUUGGCUGACCACAGGUUCCUGGAUCCUGGCUCUCAUUUCUGGGAAACAGAAACUUAGGCCUAGUCUCCCAAACGGCCAGUUUGCAGCUGUCAUGGAGUCAGUCUGGCUCUCCUGACCUGGUGUUCCCAUUUCCCCUUCUGAUUUGCAACUGGAUCAAAUCAUUGAUUUGUCAGGGUUUUUUUUCCCUCCAAUCUUUUUCUUCCCACCUUGUCACUUGUCAGGGGCAGAAGUCGUUAUUAUUGAGAACAGUUACUGCCAAGCAAGUUUUCAUAUGGGAACAGUAAAAAGCCACAUCUGAAACCUGUCUAUACCUUAAUUUGAUGGCUAUUAGUAAAGCAAGCCUGUCUGCCGUUUUCGAAACAAGAAACCUAGCAGUUUAACCCGAUAAGUUAACCAAUGAACUAACGUCGUGGUGGAUUGUUUUGACAUAAGGAGCUAGUUGCCUGUAUGUCACUGCCCAGACAGUUGCUUGGGGCUCCUGCGUCUCUAUGGCACCGAGGGCAGAGGCAGCCUUUGGCCAUCAGCCCCAGAAGACGAAGAGGCUUUUCCUGCAGAGGAGGAACAUGGGAGACUGGCCUAUCCUUGUCUACAGCACCGUGUGGCGAUCAGUUCUGCCCUCCAUCCACAGCUCAGGCCAGGUCUUGGCAGCAGCAGGCAAGACAUCAGGACAGUUAUGCCCAGUGGUUAUCAUACCACCAUCCAGGUGGUGUCCUCUGCCAUUGUGCCCACCAAUUUUCAGAGACCUCGGUGAGUCGCCGGUGGGAUUUGGGAGUCUCUGUCCGUCACGGUAAGUUUAAACAUGUUCAAUGCUACAUUCCGUAGACCUCUAACAGGCUUGAUGGAUAGCCAGUAUUGACCUACCUCGUAGGUAUCUGAGCGAAACAAGUUGUCUGUUACCUUGCAAACAUAAAGCAGGAGACUAAAUAAAGCUUUAAUUUAUGAUGA